ensembl:snRNA U6 U6 spliceosomal RNA
GUGCUCGCUUUGGUAGCACAUCUACUAAAAUUGGAAUGAUACAGAGAAGAUCAACAUGGCCCCCGUGCAGAGAUGACACGCAAAUUCGUGAAAUGUCCAAUCUUAUU